CCCCUAGAUGUUCUGGGCCGCACGCGCGCUACACUGAACAGUUCAACAAGUCUUAACCUUGGCCGAUAGGUCUGGGUAAUCUUUGAAAGGUAGUCGUGAUGGGGAUAGAUCCUUGCAAUUUUUGAUCUUCAACGAGGAAUUCCUAGUAAACGCAAGUCAUCAGCUUGCAUUGAUUACGUCCCUGCCCUUUGUACACACCGCCCGUCGCACCUACCGAUUGAAUGGUCCGGUGAAUCUUUAGGACUGUGGCUGAGGCCUUGCCUUGUGCGGGUCUGGCCGUGGGAAUUUAGUUAAACCUUACCAUUUAGAGGAAGGUGAAGUCGUAACA
rnacentral:rRNA from 1 species